CCUACGGGGGGCACCAGUGGAGAAUAUUGCACAAUGGGCGCAAGCCUGAUGCAGCCAUGCCGCGUGUAUGAAGAAGGCCUUCGGGUUAUAAAGUACUUUCAGCGGGGAGGAAGGUGUUGCGGUUAAUAACCACAGCAAUUGACGUUACCCGCAGAAGAAGCACCGGCUAACUCCGUGCCAGCAGCCGCGGUAAUACGGAGGGUGCAAGCGUUAAUCGGAAUUACUGGGCGUGAAGCGCACGCAGGCGGUCUGUCAAGUCGGAUGUGAAAUCCCCGGGCUCAACCUGGGAACUGCAUUCGAAACUGGCAGGCUAGAGUCUUGUAGAGGGGGGUAGAAUUCCAGGUGUAGCGGUGAAAUGCGUAGAGAUCUGGGGGAAUACCGGUGGCGAAGGCGGCCCCCUGGACAAAGACUGACGCUCAGGUGCGAAAGCGUGGGGAGCAAACAGGAUUAGAUACCCGCGUAGUC
rnacentral:rRNA from 1 species